CGUACACUCCUACGGGAGGCAGCAGUGGGGAAUAUUGGACAAUGGGCGCAAGCCUGAUCCAGCCAUGCCGCGUGAGUGAUGAAGGCCCUAGGGUUGUAAAGCUCUUUCACCGGUGAAGAUAAUGACGGUAACCGGAGAAGAAGCCCCGGCUAACUUCGUGCCAGCAGCCGCGGUAAUACGAAGGGGGCUAGCGUUGUUCGGAUUUACUGGGCGUAAAGCGCACGUAGGCGGACUAUUAAGUCAGGGGUGAAAUCCCGGGGCUCAACCCCGGAACUGCCUUUGAUACUGGUAGUCUUGAGUUCGAGAGAGGUGAGUGGAAUUCCGAGUGUAGAGGUGAAAUUCGUAGAUAUUCGGAGGAACACCAGUGGCGAAGGCGGCUCACUGGCUCGAUACUGACGCUGAGGUGCGAAAGCGUGGGGAGCAAACAGGAUUAGAUACCCCUGUAGUCC
rnacentral:rRNA from 1 species